rnacentral:lncRNA from 1 species
GGAGUGCUCCCAGGAGCAGCAGGGGCAGUGUAGCUAUCCGAUUGUGGGACAGACUGGUCGUAGCUCGGUUGCGUUGGUGCUGGAGUUGCUGUUGGUUGAGUGUAAACCUGUUGUUGUCCAGCAGCAGGUUAUGCACCGUACGUUGAUACAGCAGUUGGUUGUGCACAGUACGUUGAUCCAGCAGCAGGUUGUGCAUAAGAAGGAUCUUGUGCUUGAUAACCAUAACCAGCAACAUUCGGAGUGACCUGAUCUGGAUACCCUUGCGAAACCGGGUGUGAUCCGUAGGAAGCUGCAGCAGUACCUUGUGCAUAGCCAGCCUGCUGAGGAUUCCCUUGUUGAGCUGCUGUUGCUGUCCGGCAGUUUGGCCGUAGGCCUGUGGAGG